rnacentral:lncRNA from 1 species
AACUUGGACAGUUUUGAGUCUACGCGCGAGUGAACUAGGUGCAGCGGUGACCCAGCUGAAGACGUUUGGAAACAUUCUGGCGCCGAGCGCUGGGCGCGGAGUAGGAUGUGUGGAUCUGGGCAGGCGAAGGCUGUGCUUUCCUAGAAUCUGGAUUGUAACGGGGAGAGCUAUUGUACCGGUUCAUCUUGUUUCAUUCCAAAGCCCACAGUGGAAGGUUGCUAGGCGGGUACGUUAUUCCAGGUGCCACUCACUAGGUGUGCGACCACAGGAACGUGCACACCCUCUCUGCGUCUCAGUCUCUCACAUGCACAAUACAGAGCCUGUGCGAUGUGGUGGGCUAUCAUAUAAGGAAGGAGUGAAUUCCUACUGAGAACAGCAGUGCCUGCGCCACUCAGAGGACUCUAUUCACAUUACUGGAAGUGCUGCUGCAUCCUGAGGGCUUGCCAGGUUCUGUAUCAGAAUCAAGUGGCCAUGCCACUGGAAACCACAGGGCAGACUGGUUCAAGGUGCAUUGAGAAACACCAGGAUACACCAGCCUGAGCUGUGAGAGUCACAAGAACUUCUUGGGAAAGGU